AGCAGCCGCGGUAAUUCCAGCUCCAAUAGCGUAUAUUAAAGUUGUUGCAGUUAAAAAGCUCGUAGUUGAAUUUCGGGAUCAAUUAAUUGGUCGUGCCUCUGGUACGUACUGAUUUUAUUGGUUUCUCCCUUCUGACGAACCAUGAUGUCAUUAAUUUGGUGUCGUGGAGAAUCAGGACUGUUACUUUGAAAAAAUUAGAGUGUUUAAAGCAAGCUAACGCUUGAAUACAUUAGCAUGGAAUAAUGAAAUAGGACGUUUGAUCCUAUUUUGUUGGUUUCUAGGAUCGACGUAAUGAUUAAUAGGGAUAGUUGGGGGCAUUAGUAUUCAAUUGUCAGAGGUGAAAUUCUUGGAUUUAUUGAAGACUAACUACUGCGAAAGCAUUUGCCAAGGAUGUUUUCAUUAAUCAAGAACGAAAGUUAGGGGAUCGAAGACGAUCAGAUACCGUCGUAGUCUUAACCAUAAACUAUGCCGACUAGGGAUCGGAUGAUGUUAAUUUUUAAUGACUCAUUCGGCGCCUUAA
rnacentral:sRNA from 1 species